rnacentral:rRNA from 1 species
GAUGAACGCUGGCGGCGUGCCUAAUACAUGCAAGUCGAGCGAACAGACGAGGAGCUUGCUCCUCUGACGUUAGCGGCGGACGGGUGAGUAACACGUGGAUAACCUCCCUAUAAGACUGGGAUAACUUCGGGAAACCGGCGCUAAUACCGGAUAAUAUAUUGAACCGCAUGGUUCAAUAGUGAAAGACGGGUUUGCUGUCACUUAUAGAUGGAUCCGCGCCGCAUUAGCUAGUUGGUAAGGUAACGGCUUACCAAGGCAACGAUGCGUAGCCGACCUGAGAGGGUGAUCGGCCACACGGGAACUGAGACAGCGUCCAGACUCCUACGGGAGGCAGCAGUAGGGAAUCUUCCGCAAUGGGCGAAAGCCUGACGGAGCAACGCCGCGUGAGUGAUGAAGGUCUUCGGAUCGUAAAACUCUGUUAUUAGGGAAGAACAAAUGUGUAAGUAACUAUGCACGUCUUGACGGUACCUAAUCAGAAAGCCACGGCUAACUACGUG